rnacentral:rRNA from 1 species
GCACGAUACCGGGGAAGAAUAGCCAUGCAAGUCGGACGGUAGCACAGAGAGCUUGGUCUUGGGUGACGGAGUGGGGGAGGGGUGAGUAAUGUGUGGGGAUCUGCCCGAUAGAGGGGGAUAACCACUGGAAACGGUGGCUAAUACCGCACAACGUCGCACGACCAAAGAGGGGGACCUUCGGGCCUCUCACUAUCGGAUGAACCCCCAUGGGAUUAGCUAGUAGGCGGGGUAAUGGCCCACCUAGGCGACAAUCCCUAGCUGGUCUGAGAGGAUGACCAGCCACACUGGAACUGAGACACGGUCCAGACUCCUACGGGAGGCAGCAGUGGGGAAUAUUGCACAAUGGGCGCAAGCCUGAUGCACCCAUGCCGCGUGUAUGAAAAAAGCCUUCGGGUUGUAAAGUACUUUCACCGGGGAGGAAGGCGACGGGGUUAAUAACCCUGUCGAUUGACGUUACCCGCACAAAAAACACCGGCUAACUCCGUGCCACCACCCGCGGUAAUACGGAGGGUGCAAGCGUUAAUCGGAAUUACUGGGCGUAAAGCGCACGCAGGCGGUCUGUUAAGUCAGAUGUGAAAUCCCCGGGCUUAACCUGGGAACUGCAUUUGAAACUGGCAGGCUUGAGUCUUGUAGAGGGGGGUAGAAUUCCAGGUGUAGCGGUGAAAUGCGUAUAGAUCUGGAGGAAUACCGGUGGCGAAGGCGGCCCCCUGGACAAAGACUGACGCUCAGGUGCGAAAGCGUGUGGAGCAAACAGGAUUAUAUACCCUGGUAGUCCACGCCGUAUACGAUGUCUACUUGUAGGUUGUUCCCUUGAGGAGUGUCUUCCGGAGCUAACGCGUUAAGUCUACCGCCUGGGGAGUACGGCCGCAAGGUUAAAACUCACAUGAAUUGACAGGGGCCCGCACAAGCGGUGGAGCAUGUGGUUUAAUUCUAUGCAACGCGCAGAACCUUACCUACUCUUGACAUCCACCGAACUUUGCAGAGAUGCAUUGGUGCCUCCUCGACACUGAGACAGUGCUGCAUGGCUGUCGUCAGCUCUGUGUGAAUGUGGGUAAGUCUCGCACGAGCGCACCUAUCCUUGUUGUCAGCGAUUCGUCGGAACUCGAGGAACUGCCGUGAUAUCCGAGAACGUGGAUGACUCAAGUCAUCAUGCCUUACGAUAUGCUCACACUGCUACAUGGCAUCAGAGCAACCUCGGACACGAAGCUCAAGUGCGGCUUAUUCG